GUCUACGGCCAUACCACCCUGAACGCGCCCGAUCUCGUCUGAUCUCGGAAGCUAAGCAGGGUCGGGCCUGGUUAGUACUUGGAUGGGAGACUCUGAGAUCAUGACCUGAGUCGAAGGCA
rnacentral:rRNA from 1 species